CUCUUGGCUUUUUGUUAUUUAGGUUUGUGUGUGUGUGUGUGUGUGUGUGUGUGUGUGUGUGUGUGUGUGUGUUUAAUGACAGUGAAAGAUACACAUUUUUAGCCAGACCUAGAAAUCUUUAAUGAACUGACAGCAACAAGGUACAGUAGGUAACAGAAUACUGAGAUGAUGGAAAUCAGUCAGGUAUUCUUUUGAGUGUCAAGAAUUAAAGAGAUGCGAUUGACCUCACAACAUUAAGCUAUCAUGUUGUUUAAUGUAUUGCAACUGUUAUUUCAUAUCGGAAUGUGACUGAUUGUGGUCUGCUGCUGCCAUCUAGGGACAAGUAACAUUUGUAAAGCCCAGAUGGUGAAGCUGAUACUAAAUUACAAUACAUUUAUUUGUGAAAAUUGGCUUGAAUUAUGUAGACAAAGACAGAUUAUCAUCACUCAAAAAUGUGAAUGAGAAACAUAAAGGAACCCACUGUUUAAUAGUUUGGUUGCUAAUUAGUCUGAAAUGAACAAGUCUCCCAAAUCAUAUUUUCUUUAGACUGUAUUGAUAAUAUCUUUAUGCAUAUGAAAAAAGUGAUUUUCUGCCUUUAGACAGACCCAACAAACUGAUCGUAAAUAUAAAACACAAAAA